UUGGCGAGCAGCUUCUAUAGGAUUAUCUUUCUGCAGACUUCCCAUUUAACUCUUAUAAACAAGUUUUCAUAGAGCCAGAGAUGGCAGUUUCUUCAAUGAGUUUAGGAGCAUCUAUGAAUAUAUUUAGUUCUCAAGUUUUGUUUGAUGAAAAGCUUAUCGACCAGACCAUUGAUACAAGGAUAAAACUUGCAUAUGCUCUUGCAAGACAAUGGUUUGGUGUAUAUAUCACUCCCGAGGGACCAGAUGAUGAAUGGCUUUUGGACGGGCUUUCUGGUUUCUUGACAGAU